rnacentral:rRNA from 1 species
GGNGGCCUANCAUGCAGUCGAGCGGAACGAGUUAUCUGAACCUUCGGGGNACGAUAACGGCGUCGAGCGGCGGACGGGUGAGUAAUGCCUAGGAAAUUGCCCUGAUGUGGGGGAUAACCAUUGGAAACGAUGGCUAAUACCGCAUAAUGCCUACGGGCCAAAGAGGGGGACCUUCGGGCCUCUCGCGUCAGGAUAUGCCUAGGUGGGAUUAGCUAGUUGGUGAGGUAAUGGCUCACCAAGGCGACGAUCCCUAGCUGGUCUGAGAGGAUGAUCAGCCACACUGGAACUGAGACACGGUCCAGACUCCUACGGGAGGCAGCAGUGGGGAAUAUUGCACAAUGGGCGCAAGCCUGAUGCAGCCAUGCCGCGUGUGUGAAGAAGGCCUUCGGGUUGUAAAGCACUUUCAGUCGUGAGGAAGGUNGUGUAGUUAAUAGCUGCAUUANUUGACGUUAGCGACAGAAGAAGCACCGGCUAACUCCGUGCCAGCAGCCGCGGUAAUACGGAGGGUGCGAGCGUUAAUCGGAAUUACUGGGCGUAAAGCGCAUGCAGGUGGUUUGUUAAGUCAGAUGUGAAAGCCCGGGGCUCAACCUCGGAAUAGCAUUUGAAACUGGCAGACUAGAGUACUGUAGAGGGGGGUAGAAUUUCAGGUGUAGCGGUGAAAUGCGUAGAGAUCUGAAGGAAUACCGGUGGCGAAGGCGGCCCCCUGGACAGAUACUGACACUCAGAUGCGAAAGCGUGGGGAGCAAACAGGAUUAGAUACCCUGGUAGUCCACGCCGUAAACGAUGUCUACUUGGAGGUUGUGGCCUUGAGCCGUGGCUUUCGGAGCUAACGCGUUAAGUAGACCGCCUGGGGAGUACGGUCGCAAGAUUAAAACUCAAAUGAAUUGACGGGGGCCCGCACAAGCGGUGGAGCAUGUGGUUUAAUUNGAUGCAANGCGAAGAACCUUACCUACUCUUGACAUCCAGAGAACUUUCCAGAGAUGGAUUGGUGCCUUCGGGAACUCUGAGACAGGUGCUGCAUGGCUGUCGUCAGCUCGUGUUGUGAAAUGUUGGGUUAAGUCCCGCAACGAGCGCAACCCUUAUCCUUGUUUGCCAGCGAGUAAUGUCGGGAACUCCAGGGAGACUGCCGGUGAUAAACCGGAGGAAGGUG